AAAUAUCACAUUUAAUCAGACGACGAAAGGCUGCAAUGAGCCUUGGGUCCAUGAGAGGACAGAGGCAACUGAGAGACCAUUAUUGAGUUUUUUUUUUCUUCUUCUUCUCUUCUUCUUCGUAUGUAAGGUCUGACGAUUAAGAGUCAUGCAUGAAUUGAUAGAGAGAUUGUAUAAAAAUGGUGCCAGUGCAUAGAUGCAAAGUCAACGGACGAGAAUGAGCCUUUGUUAAUUAUUGAGAUGGUCGUUGACUUCGUUAUUGUACGUUGUUAUAACUUUUAAUGUAUUUUAAGUUGUAUGCCUUGUAUAUAUAUAUUCAUCUUGCAUAAUUUUGUUGUUUUCUUAGAUAUAUAUAGAGUAGUUUGUGUUUUCCUUCGUUUUGCAUAGAUGAUUUCAUUAGAGUUGUACUCAUGGUUUUGGGUGCAAGUUACUACAAUAUAGAUUCGACCUUUUCGGAAGUUUUAUUUUUUAUCCUGUAAAUGAACGAGCCACUAUAAAGCCUUUGGUUAGAAGGGUUUAAUUAGUUCAACGGAGGAAAACAGAACUAAAACAUUUUAAAGAUAAAUGUUUUAUUAUGAUAUUGGAAUAUAACAUCACAAUCUUUGCAGAAACAAAAGAGAAAGAAGGACGACACGAGAGAAAUAAAUAAACUCAAGAGAGAAACACAAUCCGAAGAUGAAUUGAAACGCAUCUCAGAAGAGGAAAGACAAAGCACCGACCAAUGCGGUGGCCAUGAGUUGAGGGUAGGCCGAGAAAGUAGCAGCACUUGGAGCCGGAGCCAUGGGUGGCAUUGGAGCCAUAGCUGGAGCCUUAGCAGGACCAUGGACAUGUCCGUUGUGUGACUCGGCGGUCAUGACCAUCACGGCCAACACAAUGCAGACGAAGGCGAAGCGGAUCAAAGAACUUCUUGGUGCCAUUUGAGUAUUCUUCUUCCCCUUCUUCUUCCUUUUUUUGGUUUCUUUCUUUGAUGUAUGCUUUGUAGGAUCUAUCAACAAAGGGGGUCGAAUUUAUAGAGCGAGAGAGGUCCUAUAGAAAAAUGUUUAGUUGUUUAAAAGUCAACGCAUGAGAAUGAGUCUUGAUGUUGAGAUGGCCCUAAAGUCGUAGUCAUUUAAUUACAUGUUGUUCACUAAGGUUUUAAAAAAAAUGGAAAAAGGACAGAAGGAUAAUGAUGAUGAAUAUGUUAGUGGACAUCCAUUUAUAUGUUUUGCCGUUCUGGAACAGCUGUUACUUCUUCCGUCACACAAGAGGGAUGUUUCUUGACUUAACCACGAUUGACCCGG
rnacentral:lncRNA from 1 species